rnacentral:rRNA from 1 species
CAACGUAGGUAACCUGCCCAUGUGUCCGGGAUAACUGCUGGAAACGGUAGCUAAAACCGGAUAGGUAUACGGAGCGCAUGCUCAGUAUAUUAAAGCGCCCAUCAAGGCGUGAACAUGGAUGGACCUGCGGCGCAUUAGCUAGUUGGUGAGGUAACGGCCCACCAAGGCGAUGAUGCGUAGCCGGCCUGAGAGGGUAAACGGCCACAUUGGGACUGAGACACGGCCCAA